rnacentral:hammerhead_ribozyme from 1 species
ACCCAGCUGACGUGUCCCAAGCAGUACGAAACGCGAGUCCUGGAU